GACGAACGCUGGCGGCGUGCUUAACACAUGCAAGUCGAACGGAAAGGCCCUGCUUUUGUGGGGUGCUCGAGUGGCGAAAGGGUGAGUAACACGUGAGUAACCUGCCCUUGACUUUGGGAUAACUUCAGGAAACUGGGGCUAAUACCGGAUAGGAGCUCCUGCUGCAUGGUGGGGGUUGGAAAGUUUCGGCGGUUGGGGAUGGACUCGCGGCUUAUCAGCUUGUUGGUGGGGUAGUGGUUUACCAAGGCUUUGACGGGUAGCCGGCCUGAGAGGGUGACCGGCCACAUUGGGACUGAGAUACGGCCCAGACUCCUACGGGAGGCAGCAGUGGGGAAUAUUGCACAAUGGGCGGAAGCCUGAUGCAGCAACGCCGCGUGCGGGAUGACGGCCUUCGGGUUGUAAACCGCUUUCGCCUGUGACGAAGCGUGAGUGACGGUAAUGGGUAAAGAAGCACCGGCUAACUACGUG
rnacentral:rRNA from 1 species